rnacentral:rRNA from 1 species
GUAGGUGGCAAGCGUUGUCCGGAAUUAUUGGGCGUAAAGCGCGCGCAGGUGGUUCUUUAAGUCUGAUGUGAAAGCCCCCGGCUCAACCGGGGAGGGUCAUUGGAAACUGGGGAACUUGAGUGCAGGAGAGGAAGGUGGAAUUCCACGUGUAGCGGAGAAAUGCGUAGAUAUGUGGAGGAACACCAGUGGCGAAGGCGACUUUCUGGCCUGUAACUGACACUGAGGCGCGAAAGCGUGGGGAGCAAACAGGGAUUAGAUACCCUGGUAGUCCACGCCGUAAACGAUGAGUGCUAAGUGUUGGGGGGGUUUUCCGCCCCCUCAGUGCUGCAGCUAACGCAUUAAGCACUCCGCCUGGGAGUACGGUCGCAAGACUG